GACGAACCGAGCGAACGUUGUUCGGAAUCACUGGGCUUAAAGGGCGCGUAGGCGGAUCAGCAAGUCCGGGGUGAAAUCUUUCGGCUCAACCGGAAAAGGGCCUUGGAUACUGCUGGUCUGGAGGGAGGUAGGGGCAGCUGGAACUUCCGGUGGAGCGGUGAAAUGCGUUGAUAUCGGAAGGAACUCCGGUGGCGAAGGCGAGCUGCUGGACCUCUUCUGACGCUGAGGCGCGAAAGCUAGGGGAGCAAACGGG
rnacentral:rRNA from 1 species